CAGCCGCCGCGGUGAUACGUAGGGUGCAAGCGUUAAUCGGAAUUACUGGGCGUAAAGCGUGCGCAGGCGGUUAUAUAAGACAGAUGUGAAAUCCCCGGGCUCAACCUGGGAACUGCAUUUGUGACUGUAUAGCUAGAGUACGGCAGAGGGGGAUGGAAUUCCGCGUGUAGCAGUGAAAUGCGUAGAUAUGCGGAGGAACACCGAUGGCGAAGGCAAUCCCCUGGGCCUGUACUGACGCUCAUGCACGAAAGCGUGGGGAGCAAACAGGAUUAGAUACCCCGGUAGUCCCUGUCUCUUAUAC
rnacentral:rRNA from 1 species